GAUUUAUUAUUUAAUAUCAAAAUUUGAUUUACUUAUGAACUCAGAACAUUGACUUUCAAGCCCAAGUAGUAAUUGAAAUGUGUUUUUACAUUGUACACUUUUUUCGUGAACCCCUUAUACAAACUAAUAUAUAACACUAAUAUGGACUAAUAUAACUAAUAUGGAUGUGAGGUGUGGCCUUUGACAAGCAAAAUGGAACAAAAACGUCGUUCGAAAACAAAAUACUGAGAUUCAUCUACGGCCCAGUAUACGACAAUGACCUGGGGUGUUGGCAUAGAAGGAAGAACAAAGAAACCCGAGAGUUGACAAGAAUAACAAGGAUAACCAACUUUGUAAAGGCCAAAGAAUAUAAUGGUUUGGGCACGUGAUGAGAAGGUCUAACUCAGAGUACCUUAAAACGACAGCUGAAUGGAAACCCAUAGGAAAAAGACCAAUAGGACGUCCAAAGAAGCGAUGGAUAGAUGGAGUAAAGCAGGAUUUAGAGAAAUUAGGGAUACCAAAUUGGAGAGAAAAAAUACAAAAUCGAGAGAAGUGGAACAUUGUGAACAAAGUUUAACAUUGUGUGUAUCGAUUUACGUUUGCAUUAAAAAUUAAUAUACAUGUUAAAUUACAUGUAUAUGUUAUGCCGAAUUUAUGAAAUUACCGAUUUCAUGAAACCAGCAACGUUAUCACCGAAACAUGAAAUCGGUAAAGCCCUUCUUAAAUAAUUAUAAAGCAAAAUUUAAUUUAAAUAAAUGUGUAAAACAUCAGAAAUAUAAUAAAAUAAUAAAUACAUUUUAAUGUGCACAAAAAGGAAAUAAAAAAAAUUGUAUUAUAUUUAAAUAUUUUGGCAAGUAUGGCCUGAGUUACACGCCGAAUUACACAUCAUAUUAUUUUUUUUACAUGUGCACUUUUUAAAUAUGCAAUUCGUACAAGUACUUCAAUAUAUAGCCAAUCAAUAGCCUUGUCCGGCCUCAACUGACCUCAUUCUAACAAGUUCCCGUAAUCAAUAUUAAUUUUGUUGAACGUCUGCAGUCGUCAGGGAACAGUACUUUGUAGCUGCCAAACUGUUCCGCUCCAACCAUGUGCUUAAAACCCCUUCUUUAGUCCCAAUACGAAAUUUGUUAUCUUUUUUUCUAUGAUAAUUGCAAGAAGGUUGGCUGGAUCACCUCGCCCUCAAUCCACAGACGGGAUUGACACCAGUACAUUGUCACCGACUUUUAAAGGAGAGAGGAAAUUUUCAAUUACUUCCAUAAGCCACUAUUUGUAAAUUAUAUCAUAAUGAUGUGUUACCGAAUUCGUGCAAUCGGUAGAAAAAGGCUGCCUAACUCACGAAAUCAGCAAUCAAAAUUUUCCGAUUUUGUGAAUUUGGUAGCCAAAUUGCCGAUUGCACAUAUUUGGUGACAAUGUUUCAUGAAAUCGACAAUUUCAUAAAUUCGGCGUAACAUAUACAAGUAUAAUUUUGAAUUAUA